GGCCAGAAGGAUGGAGGGCAUGGGAAGGGGAGUUGAAUGACCAAUCACAGAACAGUUCUUCCAACUUCAUAAAUCAAAUCUCCCAUGUCAGCCUCCAUUCAAAUCAUUGAAAUUUGGAAUGCUGUCAAUACUUUCUUAGGGCAUGCUUCAGGCCAAACAAGCAAAACAGUUCUCUUUAGAGCAAUGUACAAUCAUUCUCUAUAUAUUUGAAGACAAGAGAACCAUCUUCAACUCAUCCAGAACUAAUAGGCCAGU
rnacentral:misc_RNA from 1 species